rnacentral:rRNA from 1 species
AUAAGGUUAAGUGAAUAAGGGCGCACGGUGGAUGCCUUGGCACUAGGAGCCGAUGAAGGACGGGACUAACACCGAUAUGCUUUGGGGAGCUGUACGUAAGCUAUGAUCCAGAGAUUUCCGAAUGGGGAAACCCAACAUCUUUUAUAGGAUGUUACGUUUGCGUGAAUACAUAGCGCAUUCGAGGUAGACGCAGAGAACUGAAACAUCUAAGUACCUGCAGGAAGAGAAAGAAAAUUCGAUUCCCUGAGUAGCGGCGAGCGAAACGGGAAAAGCCCAAACCAAUGAGCUUGCUCAUUGGGGUUGUAGGACUCCAAUAUGGUAGUUCUUUCAGAUAAUCGAAUGACUUGGAAAAGUCAGUCAAAGAGGGUAAAAACCCCGUAGAUGAAAUUUGGAAGGCACCUAGGAGGAUCCUGAGUACGGCGGAACACGAGGAAUUCCGUCGGAAUCCGGGAGGACCAUCUCCCAAGGCUAAAUACUCCCUAGUGACCGAUAGUGAACCAGUACCGUGAGGGAAAGGUGAAAAGCACCCCGGAAGGGGAGUGAAAUAGAACCUGAAACCGUGUGCCUACAACAAGUCAAAGCCCGUUAAUGGGUGAUGGCGUGCCUUUUGUAGAAUGAACCGGCGAGUUACGAUUGCAUGCGAGGUUAAGUCGAAGAGACGGAGCCGCAGCGAAAGCGAGUCUGAAUAGGGCGUUUGAGUAUGUAGUCGUAGACCCGAAACCAUGUGAUCUACCCAUGUCCAGGUUGAAGGUGCGGUAAAACGCACUGGAGGACCGAACCCACGUACGUUGAAAAGUGCGGGGAUGAGGUGUGGGUAGCGGAGAAAUUCCAAACGAACUUGGAGAUAGCUGGUUCUCUCCGAAAUAGCUUUAGGGCUAGCCUCGGAUUUGAGAAUGAUGGAGGUAGAGCACUGUUUGGACUAGGGGCCCAUCUCGGGUUACCGAAUUCAGAUAAACUCCGAAUGCCAUUCAUUCAUAUCCGGGAGUCAGACUGUGAGUGAUAAGAUCCAUAGUCGAAAGGGAAACAGCCCAGACCACCAGCUAAGGUCCCAAAAUAUAUGUUAAGUGGAAAAGGAUGUGGGGUUGCACAGACAACUAGGAUGUUGGCUCAGAAGCAGCCACCAUUUAAAGAGUGCGUAAUAGCUCACUAGUCGAGUGACCCUGCGCCGAAAAUGUACCGGGGCUAAACAUAUUACCGAAGCUGUGGAGUACACCAUGAGGUGUAUUGGUAGGAGAGCGUUCUAAGGGCGUUGAAGGCAGAUCGUGAGGACUGCUGGAGCGCUUAGAAGUGAGAAUGCCGGUAUGAGUAGCGAAAGACAGGUGAGAAUCCUGUCCACCGAAUGACUAAGGUUUCCUGGGGAAGGCUCGUCCGCCCAGGGUUAGUCGGGACCUAAGCCGAGGCCGACAGGCGUAGGCGAUGGACAACAGGUUGAUAUUCCUGUACUCGUUGUUUUUGUUUGAGCAAUGGAGGGACGCAGGAGGCUAAGGAAUGCAGACGAUUGGAAAUGUCUGUCCAAGCAGUAAGUCUUGAUAGGAGUCAAAUGCUUCUGUCUACACGGAUAAGCUGUGAUGGGGAGGGAAAUAAUAGUACCGAAGUUCCUGAUGUCACACUGCCAAGAAAAGCUUCUAGUGAGAAAACAAUGACCCGUACCGCAAACCGACACAGGUAGUCGAGGAGAGAAUCCUAAGGUGAGCGAGAGAACUCUCGUUAAGGAACUCGGCAAAAUGACCCCGUAACUUCGGGAGAAGGGGUGCUGAUCUUCGAUCAGCCGCAGUGAAUAGGCCCAAGCGACUGUUUAUCAAAAACACAGGUCUCUGCAAAAUCGUAAGAUGAAGUAUAGGGGCUGACGCCUGCCCGGUGCUGGAAGGUUAAGAGGAGUGCUUAGCGUAAGCGAAGGUACGAAUUGAAGCCCCAGUAAACGGCGGCCGUAACUAUAACGGUCCUAAGGUAGCGAAAUUCCUUGUCGGGUAAGUUCCGACCCGCACGAAAGGCGUAACGAUUUGGGCACUGUCUCAACGAGAGACUCGGUGAAAUUUUAGUACCUGUGAAGAUGCAGGUUACCCGCGACAGGACGGAAAGACCCCAUGGAGCUUUACUGUAGUUUGAUAUUGAGUGUCUGUACCGCAUGUACAGGAUAGGUAGGAGCCGUAGAAAUCGGAACGCUAGUUUCGAUGGAGGCGCUGGUGGGAUACUACCCCUGCGUUAUGGCCACUCUAACCCGCACCACUAAUCGUGGUGGGAGACAGUGUCAGAUGGGCAGUUUGACUGGGGCGGUCGCCUCCUAAAAGGUAACGGAGGCGCCCAAAGGUUCCCUCAGAAUGGUUGGAAAUCAUUCGAAGAGUGUAAAGGCAGAAGGGAGCUUGACUGCGAGACCAACAAGUCGAGCAGGGACGAAAGUCGGGCUUAGUGAUCCGGUGGUUCCGCAUGGAAGGGCCAUCGCUCAACGGAUAAAAGCUACCCUGGGGAUAACAGGCUUAUCUCCCCCAAGAGUCCACAUCGACGGGGAGGUUUGGCACCUCGAUGUCGGCUCGUCGCAUCCUGGGGCUGUAGUCGGUCCCAAGGGUUGGGCUGUUCGCCCAUUAAAGCGGCACGCGAGCUGGGUUCAGAACGUCGUGAGACAGUUCGGUCCCUAUCCGUCGCGGGCGUUGGAAAUUUGAGAGGAGCUGUCCUUAGUACGAGAGGACCGGGAUGGACUUACCGCUGGUGUACCAGUUGUUCUGCCAAGGGCAUUGCUGGGUAGCUAUGUAGGGAAGGGAUAAACGCUGAAAGCAUCUAAGUGUGAAGCCCACCUCAAGAUGAGAUUUCCCAUUUCUUUAAGAAAGUAAGAUCCCUGAGAGAUGAUCAGGUAGAUAGGUCAGGAGUGGAAGGCCAGUGAUGGUUGGAGCGGACUGAUACUAAUCGAUCGAGGACUUAACCAAA